GAUUGUUUGAAGCAUCUAUGCUGCAGCACAGAUUUUCCUUUCAGCACAUGUUUAUGCAGUGACACAUUUGCACAGCAACCUCAAUCAGUUACCUGUGGUACCCCCUUGUUUGCGAAUUGAGCCACUGCGGUCUUUACUUGGUCUCUGGCAUUGAACCUAAUCCAUCUUCAUUGACCCGGCUGGGUCUAGUUAGGCGGGGGCUCCUUUCAUCUGUGAGGAGUGCUAAUCACGCUGCAACAUCUUAUGCAAAACACCAUUCCAAUGUUCCCAAGCUCCCGAGGAAGCGGGUAUGUCAAUCCGCGGAACUUCUCGAAUGCAUGUCAAAAAUUGAACAGUGUGGACCCAGGCUAAACUAAUGGUUUCUAGUGGCAACGACAACAACAACCACUACCUGUGGUCUAUUUAUCUGGUUCUAUAUUCCUACAACAUGUUUUAAAUAUUAUGGGCCAGAUCCACAUAGAAAUAGAUUGGCGCAGCGUAUCAGAGAUAUG